rfam:Camelus ferus unplaced genomic scaffold scaffold153, whole genome shotgun sequence.
GGAACGGUACAGCUCAGUGGCAGAGUGCAUGCCUAGCAUGCACGAGGUCCUGGGUUCAAUCCCCGGUACCUCCA